UAGAUAUAGGUAUAUUUACUUAAUGAAGCACAAGUCUGAAACGUUUGAAAAGUUCAAGCAAUUUCAAAGAGUGGCCAGAGUUAUUUUGAUAUGAUAGCAUGCUUCCUGCAGUAUGUACAAAGCACGGCACGGCACGCAAGACAAGCGUGUCACAUGAGCGGCUCGUCGACCAAGCAGCAGCAACAUAGCGCGGCGAAACUGCAACAUCACACAGGAAACAGGCACCAGGAAAUUAGAUACGUAUAUUAAUCAACGCAAGGAUGAAACUAAUUUAUCAUGGUGGUGCGUUGAUUGAGUAGCAUCUUACAAUCCUAAUAUGAAGCAUGUUGUGGACACCGGAGGCUUACGGGGAGGCUCAUCCUCCUCCUCGCCCUUGGACGGAGGCAUCAUCGGCCCAGGAGUUCCUGAAAAUAACAAUUGGAUGUUGAUUCAGAUUUUCAUAAAAACUGCCAAUUAUGCGAGUCAGAAAAAAGGGCUUUAAAUCGGGACUCCGCAACAAAUCUGAUGUCACAUUUUUUUACCAUGGUAAACCAGACGUUUCUCAAGACAAAUUAUGUUAUCCGAGGAUGACAAGUUUAAUUUGCAAGCUUGAAAAAUCGGCCUCAGUUCUUUUUAUCAGAAAUUUGCCAUGCUUGCAAACUAAAUUUUGCCUUCAUCGCGCCAAUACAAUGCCAUGAAAAAUGACAUAUUUGGCAUGCCUAAAAAUCUGACGUCAUUUUUUCAGUGUUUUCGUUAAAUUGUGCCUGCGAAAAUUUCAGUUGCAUUGCAUUCAUGGAUAAUUCUAUUUUUUUUCUUUAGGGGAAAGGGCGUUGGAUCCAUUGCCACAAUGAAACCACGGGAACACAUAGAUAAUCUGCAAAGGUGGGGAUAGAGAUCCGGAAUGGUUACCUUGCUCCCUGUCGCGACGAUAACUGUCCUGAUCAUGAUGCAUUUUGCGGACAAUGUGGUAAUGGAUGGAUUAUCUCUCGACAAAAGGGGAUGGCCGAGGGAUGAUGGAUUAUCCUAUCUUUCUACAAAUGUAAUGGGAGGAGAGGAUGAAUUGUUGUCUCUACAAAUGAAAUACAAGAUCCAUCGCAAAAAAAUGCAAGAGGCUGGACUAUCUUAUCUGUCAACAAAUGAAAUGGGAGAGAGGUUGAAUUCUCCCUUGGCAAAUGGAUCGAGAAAGGGAAUCAAUCAUCUCCCAACAAACGGAUCAAUGAAUGAAUCUCUCUUCUUCUUUUGCGAGGGGAGAAUGAGUAUGUGUCGAUCAACAAAUGAGAGAGAGAGAGAGAGAGAGAGGAGGAGGAGGAGGAGGAGGAGGAGGGGAAAUGGUAGAUCCAGAAAAAUGGCAGAUCCAGAAAUAUCUUGUGGACGAAGCAAUCGAUUUGUUCAAAG
rnacentral:lncRNA from 1 species